GAUGAACGCUGGCGGCGUGCCUAAUACAUGCAAGUAGAACGCUGAAGGAAGGAGCUUGCUCUUUCCGGAUGAGUUGCGAACGGGUGAGUAACGCGUAGGUAACCUGCCUGGUAGCGGGGGAUAACUAUUGGAAACGAUAGCUAAUACCGCAUAACAGUAGAUGUUGCAUGAUAUCUACUUAAAAGGUGCAAUUGCACCACUACCAGAUGGACCUGCGUUGUAUUAGCUAGUUGGUGAGGUAACGGCUCACCAAGGCGACGAUACAUAGCCGACCUGAGAGGGGGAUCGGCCAAGCUGGGACUGAGACACGGCCCAGCAUCCUACGGGAGGCAGCAGUAGGGAAUCUUUGGCAAUGGAAGGAAGUCUGACCGAGCAACGCCGCGUGAGUGAAGAAGGUUUUCGGAUCGGAAAGCUCUGUUGUAAGAGAAGAACGAGUGUGAGAGUGGAAAGUUCACACUGUGACGGUAUCUGAACAGAAAGGGACGGCUAACUACGUG
rnacentral:rRNA from 1 species